GGCAGUGUGUUAAUGAAUCUUUGUUGAACCCUUUUCUUCUAUCAAGGACUGAAAUAUCUGAUUUAAUCUCAGUGGUGCUUAAAAUAAACUUUUGUGGCUGAGUUUACUCAAGCCCUUAUUUGAAAGCUAUUCUUAUAGGCAGGCCCAGAGCUAAAGACUGCCAGCUUGUUGGCCCACUGCUGUCUGUUCCUGGGGGCACAUUGGGAGCCGUCAUCAGGUUUCUUGACUUGGACUUCUGACUUACUACUCUCUGGACAGUCUGGAGAGUAGGUGGAUUUCAGUUCAGUUAUUUUUGAUUGCUUUGUAGCGGAAAUGGAGGAUAAAGUUUUAACUGUGGUCAAGGUUUUAAAUGGCAUCUGUGACAAAACAAUCCGAUCUACCACAGAUCCUGUGAUGAGCCAGUGUGCAUGUCUGGAGGAAGUUCACUUACCAAACAUUAAACCUGGGGAAGGCCUGGGCAUGUACAUCAAAUCAACCUAUGAUGGGUUACACGUGAUUACUGGAACCACAGAAAAUUCUCCUGCAGACAGAUCUCAGAAGAUUCAUGCUGGUGACGAAGUCAUUCAAGUUAAUCAGCAAACUGUGGUGGGAUGGCAGCUGAAAAAUUUGGUGAAGAAAUUGAGAGAGAAUCCCACCGGAGUUGUGUUACUGCUUAAGAAGCGCCCCACCGGGUCUUUCAACUUUACUCCUGCUCCCCUGAAAAACCUACGGUGGAAGCCACCUCUUGUACAGCUCUAUGCAAGAGAUAUUAUCAGUAUCACUCCUUUACAGAGGA
rnacentral:sRNA from 1 species